rnacentral:rRNA from 1 species
GAUGAACGCUGACAGAAUGCUUAACACAUGCAAGUCUACUUGAAGCUAACUUCGGUUAGUGGAGGGUGGCGGACGGGUGAGUAACGCGUAAAGAACUUGCCUCACAGAUUGGGACAACAUUUGGAAACGAAUGCUAAUACCGGAUAUUAUGAUACUUCCGCAUGGAAGAAUCAUGAAAGCUAUAUGCGCUGUGAGAGGGCUUUGCGUCCCAUUAGCUAGUUGGAGAGGUAACGGCUCACCAAGGCGAUGAUGGGUAGCCGGCCUGAGAGGGUGAACGGCCACAAGGGGACUGAGACACGGCCCUUACUCCUACGGGAGGCAGCAGUGGGGAAUAUUGGACAAUGGACCAAAAGUCUGAUCCAGCAAUUCUGUGUGCACGAUGAAGUUUUUCGGAAUGUAAAGUGCUUUCAGUUGGGAAGAAGCAAGUGACGGUACCAACAGAAGAAGCGACGGCUAAAUACGUGCCAGCAGCCGCGGUAAUACGUAUGUCGCAAGCGUUAUCCGGAUUUAUUGGGCGUAAAGCGCGUCUAGGUGGUUAUAUAAGUCUGAUGUGAAAAUGCGGGGCUCAACUCCGUAUUGCGUUGGAAACUGUAUGACUAGAGUACUGGAGAGGUAAGCGGAACUACAAGUGUAGAGGUGAAAUUCGUAGAUAUUUGUAGGAAUGCCGAUGGGGAAGCCAGCUUACUGGACAGAUACUGACGCUAAAGCGCGAAAGCGUGGGUAGCAAACAGG